UCUUGACCAAAUUACGUGCCAGCAGUCGCGGUAAUACGCAGAAGACAAGUGUUAUUCAUCUUAAUUGGGUUUAAAGGGUACCUAGACAGUAAAUAAAGCCAUAGUAGGAACUAAUUUUCUAGAGUUUUAUGGGAGAAAGCAGAAUUUAUGGAGGAGUGAUAAAAUAUUAUGAAACUUAAAGGACGGGCAAAGGCGAAGGCAACUUUCUAAGUAAAAACUGACGUUGAGGGACGAAGCCCCGGGUAGCAAGAUGGAUUAGAUACCCAAGUAGUCCGGAGAGACAAUGAUGAAUGUCAUAGACUAGAAAAUUUAGUUUAUAAAUGAAAGUGCAAGCAUUCCACCUUAAGACUAAAGCGGGAACGCCCAAAUUUAAAUCAUUAGACCGUUCCUGAAACCAGUAGUGAAGUAUGUUAUUUAAUUUGAUGAUCCGCAAAUAACCUUACCAUGUUUUGAAUACUAUUAAGUUAAUACAAGCGUUGCACGGCUGUUUUUAGUUAAUGUCGUGAGACUUUGGUUAAUCCCUUAAAUUAACGAAAACCCUUGUUUUAUUUAAAU
rnacentral:rRNA from 1 species